ACGCUCGACACCUACGAGAGGCAGCAGUGGGGAAUAUUGCACAAUGGGGGAAACCCUGAUGCAGCAACGCCGCGUGAAGGAAGACGGUUUUCGGAUUGUAAACUUCUGUUCUUAGUGAAGAUAGUGACGGUAGCUAAGGAGCAAGCCACGGCUAACUACGUGCCUGCAGCCGCGGUAAUCUGAGCGGCUGGCAAGGC
rnacentral:rRNA from 1 species